ACGAACGCUGGCGGCGUGCUUAACACAUGCAAGUCGAACGGAAAGGCCCUGCUUUUGUGGGGUGCUCGAGUGGCGAACGGGUGAGUAACACGUUAGUAACCUGCCCUUGACUUUGGGAUAACUUCAGGAAACUUGGGCUAAUACCGGAUAGGAGCUCCUGCUGCAUGGUGGGGGUUGGAAAGUUUCGGCGGUUGGGGAUGGACUCGCGGCUUAUCAGCUUGUUGGUGGGGUAGUGGCUUACCAAGGCUUUGACGGGUAGCCGGCCUGAGAGGGUGACAGGCAACAUGGGAACUGAGAUACGGCCCAGAGGCAGAAGGGAGGAAGGAGUGGGGAAUAUAGCACAAAGGGCGGAAGCCGGAUGCAGAAACGCCGCGUGCGGGAUGACGGCCUUCGGGUUGUAAACAGAUUUCGCCUGUGACGAAGCGUGAGUGACGGUAAUGGGUAAAGAAGCACCGGCUAACUACGU
rnacentral:rRNA from 1 species